rnacentral:lncRNA from 1 species
UCCCUGAACGUACAAACAAUUUUCGAUUCCGAUUCUCUUAUCCGAGAUGUUGUAGCGAAAUGGCCUGGAGCAACACACGACGCCCGGAUCUUUCAUGAAAGCGGCGUUCGUCAGCUGUUUGAAAGGGGUUUUAUGCCAGCUGGGUCCCAUUUACUUGGAGACAGUGGCUAUCCAUGCAGAAGAUAUAUUUUAACACCCUUCCUGCACCCACAAGCUGGACCAGAGACAAAUUAUAACAGGUAUUCUGUUUGUUUAUAUUCACAGACAUGUAAACUUGUCCGACACGGUAUGAAUUAGAGUAGCUUCCCUUGGGAAGGUGGUAAAUUCUAUAAUUUGAAAUUGUGUUUUUUAAACGAAAUGACAUUGUAGCUUUGUAAUUCUUCAUAAAACGGAUUAGCGAUUAAGGAUUUAACGAUGCUUAUUUUAUUAGAUGAGUAAACGUAGUAAAUAUAAAAGAUGAUAUACUACUGUCAGAUGUUCAUCUACAUUUAUGAAUGCAAUAUAACAAUAAUGCAAAUCUCCAAAAAUACAUAUGGGUUCAAAUAUCAUACUGCAUGUAAAUUAUAAGAAAAAUGUCUUUUGCAAUCAAAUAUGGUUUUCAUAUCUUGUGAUGAACAUAUACUUAAAAAAUUUGAACAAAAUUGAUGAGAAAUUAAAGAAAUAUAGAGUUCCUGUAUGAAAUUACAAAUUAGAAAUUGAGCCAGUAUUUCAGUCAAAUAAAUUUAAAAUUCAUCUGAAUCAUUAGCAUAGAAUUAUACAUGAACUCAGUGAAUUUGAUUAAUUAUUUCAAUACAUUGAAAUAUGUUUAGGCUUGAAAACAUUUCAAUUAAAUGUCCUUAAAAAUUCCUUUUAGAUCUCACAAGAAUACAAGGAGUGUUGUUGAGAGAGGCAUUGGACAAUUAAAGAGAAGAUUUCAUGUCCUGCAUGGAGAGAUUAGGCUGACACCUCAAAAAGCAUCAAAGGUUGUGAUUGUGUGUGCCGUGCUCCAUAAUAUCUGUAAACAAAGAAAUAUCCCACUACCUCCUGGACAAGAUGGACACCAAGAUGGACAGAGACCGCCUCCCCAGCUCCCUCUUCCUGUCAGUCACGGGAACUGGAAGUUGUACUGAGGCCGGAACAGGGACUGUACUUGCAGCUGGAUCAGGGACCAUGGCUGG